UUUGAGACUCUCCCAGGCACGAAUGUCGAGGUUCCUCUACCAACUUCACGUGUCUACCUUUUCCGCCGCACCUAACCCCUUAGCCACCGUCUAAAGCCCCUCCGCCACCGCAGCUGCUUUUUCCGGUGCUUGCAUUUUGUGUUUUUUUGCAGGUUUUUCCCCUCUCCUGCCUUUUGUGUGGUCUCUUAUGGGUUUCGCCUUGUGCAUUUGGUCCUGGGUCAUGGCUUUCUCGACUCCUUACCUCACCUUAGCUCGGGUUCAAGAAGAACUGUCUCAGUGAGGUCGUCACCUCCCCUUUUGGGGCCCCUUGCUCUCCUUACUGCUCCUCUGCAGAUUUUGUGUUCUGUUUACCGCCCCUUGCGGAUCUUGUGCUCGGAUCUACCAUCACCCUCCAACCGUGUACUCUGCAAGCUUCCUCUCCGGCUUGAUUCAGUAGCCUCAAGCCCUGCUUCUCCCACUUGUCGUUCUCUCUCUCUGGCGUGCUCCCUGCAUUUCUACUGCAUCUCUGCAGUUUUAGUUUUGGUUUCUUUUACUUGCUUCAGGUGACUUGGACUGCUUUUUCUUUGGCUCUGCAACCCCUGUUUGAACAUCACUCUGAUUUGCUACUCAAGGAGCUCUCUCUGUGAAAUCUCCCUACAAAGACAAUGUCACAUAGAUACUCCAAAUAUAAGAAAGCAAAAUGGGUGGCUGGCUUACUGGUGGUUCGCCGCAAAUCACCAGUCCGAAUUCCUGAUAGAGAUACAUCGGACCUAGCUGCUGAAAAUCGUCUGACCCUCAUUGGCAAAGUGACGAACCCUAAAAAUCAAAAGGCUAAAGCCAUUGUUGAGUAUCUUCCCCAAUACUGGAUUCUGGAGAAUAAAGUAACUGGUAAAUGUCUAGGAACAAAGAUUGUCCAGUUUCGCUUUGAAGCAAAGGCUGACCUGGAAAGAGUUAUGGAUAAUUCACCUUACCACUUCAAACAAUGGAUGCUCAUCCUACAACCUUGGGCCCCUAUUAUUUCAGUUUCCUUCCCCAACAAUAUAUACUUUUGGGUAAAGAUUCAUAAACUCCCAGCUCUGUUAUGGGAUGACUAGACAGUUCGCACCAUCGGCAAGGAAUUAGGACCAGUAAGAGGACAAGAAUCUUCGGAGGCUCGUGUAAGAGUCGAGAUAAAUGGUCUACUUCCUCUUGAGAGAUCUGUUCCUAUUCGCUUACCCUCUGGAGAGGUUACCAGUGUGGAUGUCGAAUAUGAAAAGCUUGAAAAGCACUGCUUCCAUUGCUUCUCACUGUCUCAUGAAAAGAGAAAUUGCCCUCAACUCUCCUCACCUGUGGAAUCUCUCCCCAAACCUCUUGGUAUCAACCAGCAGCUCACCCUUGAGAAGCUGAAGCUUGGGGAGAAACGUUCUUCUAAUUACCACAGAGCUUCAAGAGAUGAUUCUCAUGCUCACUUCAGAGCCUCCCAAAGACGUUCUCCAAUGCGACGCUCCCCACCUCGUCGCUCUCCCCCUCGACGCUAAACCUAUGCCCCAAGGUACUUGAACCAAGAUAACAAGCAUAGGUACCAGCAUUCCAACCGUCUUUCAUACUAAUGUACACAGAGGUCGCUCUCCCAUCAGAAGCUACAGAGAUCACCAUGAUAGGAAUCCCUCUCAUUCUAGAGAGAUCAGAGACAUGCAUUCCCCUUCCUAUGUUCAGCACAGGACACCAAUCUCUACUAAUCGGAAUGAGCAUAACAAUAGGUCAGCAAAGUUUGUCAGAACUGAUUUAAGUCCAUCCAAAAAUCAAUCUGCAAAUGCUGCCUCUCUAGGUCAGGAGAACCCUCCUACAGAAGCUGUUACCCACUCUCAUACCCCAUCUCCAAGACCUCCUCGUGAUCUCAUCACUUCACCUAUCCCUCUUGCCUCAAGUGGAGGAAUUAACUCUUUCCAUUCCCGACGGCCGGCCCUUUUGGUGGAGAGAUUCGUGGACCACGUUGAGUUCCAAAGAUUUAUGUUGAUUCAAGUAAGUUACAAGAGGUGGAAAUAUAAUAUUUUGAGACUGGAUCUCCCCAGAUUCCCCUCAACCCUGCUGCUAACUCGGAACUGGUGGAAAGAACCCAUGUUGCACUCAGAUUAGGCCCACCUGCUACAACUAACAGAAAGCAGACAAAAGUUAAGACUGGUGCCAGUAAGGUAACCUCAAAACCUAAGAAUACUGUGCAGAAAACUACAGGCAAAAGGAAAGUGCCCCGGGCACCAGCUAAACCAAGAGGUACGAGAAGCCCACUCCAAGGCCCAAGCCUUCGAAAGAUCUACUCCACCAGAUCGAAUAACCCCCCAAGAAAACGUCUUUGCUCUGAGCCUUCUAAGGGCUCUCUUGGUGAGAAAGAUAUCCCUGGACCUAGUGGUACUCAAGCUGACCCUCCUACUAUUAAUCUAAUUCCUACAACUGUUAGAGAAGUGGUGGAUUUUCAAUCCCCACAAAACCCUCUCCCUUAGCUGUUUUGAGCUGGAACUGUCAAGGCUUGAGAGGCAACCUUACAGUUCGUCGACUAAAGGGAUUACAUCGCAGUUUUUCCAUGGAGACUAAGAACAAUGAUGAUGUUGUUUCCACUUCUUUGCUUGAACUUGGUUAUACAAACCAGUUUACUGUGCCUCCCCAUGGUUUAAGUGGUGGUUUGGCUUUACUUUGGAAAGACGGCAUCUCUCUUGAUAUAAUUGAUUCAUCACCAAACUUCAUUGACUCUAAAGUCUCUGUUAAACGCUUAUCCUCUUUUAUCACAUUCAUCAAUGGACCUCCUCAAAGAGAGAACAGAGCUCAGUUUUGGUCUCAUCUUUCUCUCUUGGGAGAAAUCCGA
rnacentral:lncRNA from 1 species